rnacentral:rRNA from 1 species
AUUGAACGCUGGCGGCAUGCCUUACACAUGCAAGUCGAACGGCAGCACGGGAGCAAUCCUGGUGGCGAGUGGCGAACGGGUGAGUAAUAUAUCGGAACGUGCCCAGUAGUGGGGGAUAGCCCGGCGAAAGCCGGAUUAAUACCGCAUACGACCUGAGGGUGAAAGCGGGGGAUCGCAAGACCUCGCGCUAUUGGAGCGGCCGAUAUCAGAUUAGCUAGUUGGUGGGGUAAAGGCCUACCAAGGCUACGAUCUGUAGUUGGUCUGAGAGGACGACCAGCCACACUGGGACUGAGACACGGCCCAGACUCCUACGGGAGGCAGCAGUGGGGAAUUUUGGACAAUGGGCGCAAGCCUGAUCCAGCAAUGCCGCGUGCAGGAAGAAGGCCUCGGUGUAACUAGCUUUGUUCUGGAAGGAAAGUACGUUACUUCGGGUCGUAAGUUAACCCCGGAACGGGAACGUAGACGGUAACCGUUCGAAGAAGUAAAGACAACCGGCUAACGUACGUACG